rnacentral:miRNA from 1 species
AUGGGCCUAUGUGUGUCUCGUG